rnacentral:rRNA from 1 species
UACGGAGGGUGCGAGCGUUGUCCGGAAUCAUUGGGCGUAAAGGGCGCGUAGGUGGCGUGAUAAGGGUGUGGUGAAAGCCCGGGGCUCAACCCCGGGUCUGCCAUGCCGACUGUCAGGCUCGAGUGCUGUAGGGGCAGGCGGAAUUCCGGGUGUAGCGGUGGAAUGCGUAGAGAUCCGGAGGAAGACCGGUGGCGAAGGCGGCCUGCUGGGCAGUUACUGACACUGAGGCGCGACAGCGUGGGGAGCAACAGG